GGAUUAGAUACCCUGGUAGUCCGCGCCCUAAACGAUGUAUGCUUGGUGUUGGCUGCUUGCAGUCAGUGCCGGAGGUAACCCGUUAAGCAUACCACCUGGGGAGUACGAUCGCAAGGUUGAAACUCAAAGGAAUUGACGGGGGCCCGCACAAGCGGUGGAUCAUGUGGUUUAAUUCGAUGCAACGCGAAGAACCUUACCUGGGCUUGAAGUGCAGGCAGUAGCGAUUGGAAACAUGAGCGAACCGUUAAGUCGGAAACCUGCAGAGGUGCUGCAUGGCUGUCGUCAGCUCGUGCCG
rnacentral:rRNA from 1 species